rnacentral:snoRNA from 1 species
GGACGAUGAGGAGAAAGCACCUCCUCUGAUUCCGGCGUGAGUGAUGAGACGCCCACGGGCCCGAGU